AGCCGGACGGGGACGGCCGAGGUGGCAGGCCGGAGAAGGCGAUGCGGGCGGGCAGUAUGAGCCGCUGCCCGUGUACCGCGGAGGGAGGUGGUCUCCAAGGCCGCUCGUCGCGAGGGAGCUCUGGCGCGCCCCUUCCUCGCCCGCGUCUUUGCUUGGCCGUCGGCGGAGGCGGCAAGCGCGCGUCUGGGCGAGCUAGAGCUUUUUCGUUUUGGUUCUUGGUUCAUUUGGGUGGUUUUCUGUUCCGUUCUUAUUCCCUGUGCUUCUUGGUGGUGUUUUGGGAUAUGAUCUCUACGGUUCUUUAUUUCCUCUCUGUCUUUGAGUGCUCCGUUUGAUUAUUUUGUUCCUUUUCGAUCUCUUCCUCAUCUGCCUCUUCUUGGCCAUGGAGGGCGCCAUCACCCAGGGCCAACAAAAGUGUUGGCUUCGAACGUAGGUACUGCAGUGGAAAGGAGACCUCCAAUUGAUCCCUCUUUCCCAAACGCUCAACGGAGCAACAGAGGGAAUGACAUGAUUUUCGAUAUUCUGCUUACCUAUGCAUAGAAGGUGUUUGACAUAAUUCCAAGCAGGUCGUUCUCAUAUUUUGUCAUGGCCGGAGCGAGUCAACGGGGCUGGACCAGAAGCAAAUAAGCAACUGGUCCACCAACCAUAGUAAGCGGCACUGGAAGCCGGCGGCGAAGGACAUUUCGUACUCGACGGACAUGACAAUGGGUGGCACGGAGGGUGAGCAGCGAGAGGAACUGCUGCGUAGGCCGCUUUGCGUUGGGAGGGCGUGGCUGCUGCUGGAUCCAUCGUCAUCGUCAGUAUAGGAUUAUUAUUUGCUUCAGAAUUUAGAUGGCCAGUACUUACUCCACAUUGAGUUCGAUUGUUCCUAGAGAAACUUUCAGUGUAGCUUAGUUCAAAUGGAAUGCGCCUUUGUUGAAUGGAUGCAUGGGCAAAACAAUUUAGCCUUUAUUUCGAUUUAUUUUAUUGUCAUUAUCCUACUUAUUGCAAAUUAGUUUGUAGGUGGCAUAAAGUACACUAUUUAAAAUAAAUCCAGCCAGCAAGCAAUUUGAGUUGUGGCAUUUUUUUUCUUUGAAGUUUACAGCCUUCGACUGUGCUAUUUUUCUCCAUGUUUGUAAUUUCAGAUUACAAGCUACCUUGUGUUGGUGUAUUUGCAAGCUAUGAAGAUUUGCGACCGUUCUAAAAUUCCAUUUCUCAUCUAAUGAGGGGAAAAGAUCCGAACCUUCUAUUUGUUAUGGUUGAUUUUAAGACUUGGAUACGGUGUCUUACGCACAAGAGUUGGUUGAUCAUACCUAUGAGUAAUCUGGCUCUAAUUAGUGAUUACCUUAUUGGAAGGAUCCAUGCAUUCUGACGUCAUAUAGGUGAAUAUAUCUGAACUUUUUUGGGAGCA